rnacentral:rRNA from 1 species
AACCUAGGCCAUACCACCUUGAAAUGCCCUAUCUCAUCUGAUCUUGGAAGCUAAGCAGUCAGGCCUGGUUAAUACUGCAUGGGAAAACCCAUAUCAGAAAAACCAGGCCCAUGAAUUU